rnacentral:lncRNA from 1 species
GUGACUCAAAAGCAGCAGCAUCACUGAAAAGCCCAUCACCCCACCAUGGGUGGUGAAACAAAAGUUGCAUCCCUGGAGCUUCCUGAUGAGCAGCCUCCUCAGCCAAACCUGUUCUCUACUUUUCUACUCCAGCUGCGUAUUCUCUUUUGAGCUUCCUUCCUUCUCCCAGAGUGAAUGUUACAAUUCUGAGGAAACAGCAGUACACACUAUUCAUUGCCAUGAUUUCCUUAGAACACAUAGAACAGUGAAGGGAAUAUAGGAGAGCAUUUGUUCAUCUCUUGACAACUAUUGAGAAGGCCUGUUGCACUGAUGAGCUUUUGUCAAUGUGACAAAAACCUAGACAUGCCUGGGAAGAUGGAUCAGUUGAGGAACUCUCUCCAUCAGAUUGGCCCGGGAGUGGCACUAUUAGGAAGUGUGGACUUGUUGAAGGAAGUGUGUCACCAUGUAGGCGACCUUUGAGGUCUUAUAUACUCAAGCUAUACCCUGUGUGGCGCACAGUUGCUUCUGCUGUCUGUGGAUGAAGAUGUACAACUCUCAGCUCUUUCUUCAGCACCAUGUCUGCCUGCAGGCCACCAUGAAAAUAAUGGACGAAAUCUCUGAAACUGUAAGCCAGUCCCAAUUAAAUGUUUCUCUUUAAAAGAGUGUCCGUGCUCAUGAUGUCUCUUCACAGC